CGGUUCGCUGCCGACAACGUCACGAGAAGUCCACUGAACCUUAUCAUUUAGAGGAAGGAGAAGUCGUAACAAGGUUUCCGUAGGUGAACCUGCGGAAGGAUCAUUGUCGAAAUCGAACGGAAGGAUGACCCGCGAAUCGUCGUCGCGUACAGGAGAGAGCUCGUGAGCACCCAACGCUCACGCGGCUCGCGUCGCGUCGGCGCGGGUGCGCUCGAGACCCGCGUCGUACCGGCGUACAAACAACGUCAGCACGGAUCGUGCCAAGGAGCUGCAUGGAGAGAAUCGUCGUCCAGCGCCUUUGAUUGUCCCCGUUGCGGGACACGGGGGCGGGGGAUGUACGCAAUCUCUGCUCAAGUCUAAAUGACUCUCGGCAACGGAUAUCUCGGCUCUUGCAUCGAUGAAGAACGUAGCGAAAUGCGAUACUUGGUGUGAAUUGCAGAAUCCCGCGAACCAUCAAUUCUUUGAACGCAAGUUGCGCCCGAAGCCAUUCGGCCGAGGGCACGCCUGCCUGGGUGUCGUGAAUCCCCCUGCCCCUAGGCACCCGCACGCGCAUUGGCGGGGAAAUGCCCGGGCGCAGAAUAUGGUCUCCCGUGGGUUCGGCAUGCACGGCGUGCCGAGGUGCGGUUGGCCGAAAAUCGAGCAUGGCGGUGACGGGCACCACGGCGUUCGGUGGAUCGAAUGAGAUUGGCUGCGUCGUGGGCUCGGCAUGCGGCGGGCUCCGGACUUUGACCAUCCCCGAGUGCGAUCCCAGGUCAGGCGGGGCUACCCGCUGAGUUUAAGCAUAUCAAUAAGC
rnacentral:rRNA from 2 species